rnacentral:misc_RNA from 1 species
UUUCCGUAGGUGAACCUGCGGAAGGAUCAUUACUGUUGGGUGCCCGGUGCCUAGCACCGCAGGCCCCAAUUUGAGGUAGUCACCCUUGCCUUUUGAGUACCCUUUCGUUUCCUCGGCGGGCUCGCCCGCCGGUGGACAACCAAAAACUCUUCUGUAAUAGCAGUAUCUUCUGAGAAAAAACAAAUAGUUAAAACUUUCAACAACGGAUCUCUUGGUUCUGGCAUCGAUGAAGAACGCAGC